rnacentral:rRNA from 1 species
CCCGGUGACCAUAGCGAGGAGGUAACACCCGUUCCCAUCCCGAACACGGAAGUUAAGGGCCUCAGCGGCAAUGGUAGUGUGGCGAUCGGCCAUGUGAGAGUAGCACGUUGCCGGGA